rnacentral:tRNA from 1 species
GCCUUUAUAGCUCAGUGGUAGAGCACUGGUCUCGUAAACCAGGGGUCGUGAGUUCAAAUCUCACUGGAGGCA